AGUGAACGCUGGCGGUAGGCCUAACACAUGCAAGUCGAACGGCAGCACAGUAAGAGCUUGCUCUUACGGGUGGCGAGUGGCGGACGGGUGAGGAAUACAUCGGAAUCUACUUUUUCGUGGGGGAUAACGUAGGGAAACUUACGCUAAUACCGCAUACGACCUACGGGUGAAAGCAGGGGAUCUUCGGACCUUGCGCGAUUGAAUGAGCCGAUGUCGGAUUAGCUAGUUGGCGGGGUAAAGGCCCACCAAGGCGACGAUCCGUAGCUGGUCUGAGAGGAUGAUCAGCCACACUGGAACUGAGACACGGUCCAGACUCCUACGGGAGGCAGCAGUGGGGAAUAUUGGACAAUGGGCGCAAGCCUGAUCCAGCCAUACCGCGUGGGUGAAGAAGGCCUUCGGGUUGUAAAGCCCUUUUGUUGGGAAAGAAAAGCAGCAAGUUAAUACCCCGCUGUUCUGACGGUACCCAAAGAAUAAGCACCGGCUAACUUCGU
rnacentral:rRNA from 1 species